rnacentral:rRNA from 1 species
UACGAAGGGGGCGAGCGUUGUUCGGAUUUACUGGGCGUAAAGCGUGCGCAGGCGGUUAUGUAAGACAGUUGUGAAAUCCCCGGGCUCAACCUGGGAACUGCAUCUGUGACUGCAUAGCUAGAGUACGGUAGAGGGGGAUGGAAUUCCGCGUGUAGCAGUGAAAUGCGUAGAUAUGCGGAGGAACACCGAUGGCGAAGGCAAUCCCCUGGACCUGUACUGACGCUCAUGCACGAAAGCGUGGGGAGCAAACAGG